rnacentral:rRNA from 1 species
UGAGUACGAGCUGCUACGGCAGCGAAGUGGGUGAUGUCAAGCUUCCAAGAAAAGCCCUAUACCCGUUAAGGCAUGAUGGCCUGUACCCGAAACCGACACAGGUGGGGUGGUAGAGAAUACCGAGGGGCGCGAGAUAACUCUCUCUAAGGAACUCGGCAAAAUGGCCCCGUAACUUCGGGAGAAGGGGUGCCACCGCAAGGUGGUCGCAGUGAAGAGGCCCAGGCGACUGUUUACCAAAAACACAGGUCUCCGCUAAGUCGCAAGACGAUGUAUGGGGGCUGACGCCUGCCCAGUGCCGGAAGGUUAAGGAAGCUGGUCAGCGUAAGCGAAGCUAGCGACUGAAGCCCCGGUGAACGGCGGCCGUAACUAUAACGGUCCUAAGGUAGCGAAAUUCCUUGUCGGGUAAGUUCCGACCCGCACGAAAGGCGUAACGAUCUGGGCGCUGUCUCGGAGAGAGGCUCGGCGAAAUAGAAUUGUCUGUGAAGAUGCGGACUACGUGCACCCGGACAGAAAGACCCUAUGAAGCUUUACUGUAGCUUGGUAUUGUGCCCGGGCUCUGAAUGCGCAGGAUAGGUGGGAGGCUUUGAUCCAUUGCUUGUGGGUGAUGGUGAGCCAACGGUGAGAUACCACUCUUUCAGAGCUAGGGUUCUAACGGUCACCCGUCAUCCGGGGACCGGAUAGUAUCAGGUGGGCAGUUUGACUGGGGCGGUCGCCUCCUAAAGGGUAACGGAGGCGCGCAAAGGUUUGCUCAGGCUGGUUGGAAAUCAGCCGACGAGUGUAAAAGCAGAAGCAAGCUUGACUGUGAGACCUACAAGUCGAACAGGGACGAAAGUCGGCUUUAGUGAUCCGACGGUUCUGAGUGGAAGGGCCGUCGCUCAACGGAUAAAAGUUACUCUAAGGAUAACAGGCUGAUCUCCCCCAAGAGUUCACAUCGACGGGGAGGUUUGGCACCUCGAUGUCGGCUCAUCGCAACCUGGGGCUGAAGUCGGUCCCAAGGGUUGGGCUGUUCGCCCAUUAAAGCGGUACGCGAGCUGGGUUCAGAACGUCGUGAGACAGUUCGGUCCAUAUCCGGUGCAUGCGCAGGAAUAUUGAGAGGAUUUCUCCCUAGUACGAGAGGACCGGGAGGAACGCACCUCUGGUGUGCCAGUUAUCGUGCCAACGGUAAACGCUGGGUAGCCAUGUGCGGAGAGGAUAACCGCUGAAAGCAUCUAAGUGGGAAGCCCACCUCAAGAUGAGUAUUCCCAUGGCGUUAGCCAGUAAGGUCACGGGCAGAACACCCGUUGAUAGGCUCUACGUGGAAGCCGGGUAACCGGUGAAGCGGAGGAGUACUAAUAGACCGAGGGCUUGAGU